UGAAUUAUGGCUUAGUAGUAAAGCCUCGGCCUGCUAUGCUGAAGGUCGAGGAUUCAAAUCCCAAAUCAG
rfam:Daphnia magna strain Xinb3 scaffold03311, whole genome shotgun sequence.